UUUUUCGAUCUUCUUUGUUCUUCUUUAAAACUGUUGUUACAAUAAAAAAAAACACCUACCACCAUUUUCAUCAAAACCCACACUGCAUUUCACUCUUCCCCAAGUACGCCUCUCACUGCCGCUUUGUCCCAGCCUCGACUUUCUCUCCUUCCUCUCCCUCUGCAUCUCCUCCAGUCCCUGAACCAAUUUCGUUCAACUUAUCAGCACCCCUAGGAAUUGAAUAAAGUAUUUUUUAAACCCUAAACCUGAAGUUUUUUUUCCUUCUUAAGUCAUGAGAUUUUGAGUUACGGUUAGUGCCUGUCGCAGGUUGUCUUCUGCCUUCCAAGUUUUCGACAGGUUAGGGAUUAAAUAAGUUUACAGCUAAUGUCGACUCGGAUUCGUCGAGCGGGAAAGGAAAAUCUAAAGUCUUCGACGAGUAAUUCAGAAUUUCUGAUCAGGAAUUUAACCAAACUGAGGAGAACCGGGGAAAAGGCAAAAUUAUCAUGAGUCUUUACAAUUCAACUUGUUUCUUGAUUUAACCAGAUUACCAACUUGCGGAACGUAUCAAGCGGAUCGUCGAGAAGCUCACACUAUCCCAUUAUUGAUUAGAUUACAUUUUGUGGACAGAAGAUUGGAUCAACUCGAGGAAUCACACUAUCCCGAGGACUCUUUUGGUACCUUUGUAAUUGGACGAAAAGUGAGCAUGAUUUUGGUCACUUUUGGGUACACAUGGCCUGGGACAUGGACUGUCACGUGGCCGUGUGUCACACACAGGCAACCCACACGGGUGUGUGCUCCUAGCAUGUUAGAUGCAGGGUUCACACAGACUAACAGACGACCUGCGACACGGCUGUGUGACCCAAGUUAGAGAGUUACACGACCCACGCACAUGGGCGUGUGAGACCACACACGGGCGUGUAGGAUGACCACAUGAUUUGGGCUCUGUCACACAACUUGGACACACAGCCAUGUGACCCCUAUUUUGGAAAUUUUUCAUUUUUUCCCAAUUCUCAUGUUUUGUUUCGAAUUGGUCCCAGAUUGUUCCUAAACUAUUUUU